CAAUAAGCGGAGGAAAAGAAACCAACAGGGAUUCCCUUAGUAACGGCGAGCGAAAAGGGAUGAGCCCAGCAUGUAAAUCUCCGGUUUCCGGCGAAUUGUAGUCUGGAGUAGCAACUCCUGGUGCCGUGCCGGCCCAAGCAUCUUGGAAUAGAUCGCCUCAGAGGGUGAGAGCCCCGUAGGUCGGUACGAGCUCCUGCACGGAGUGCUCACGCAGAGUCGGGUUGUUUGGGAAUGCAGCCCCAAUUGGGUGGUAAACCCCAUCUAAGGCUAAAUACCUGUGGGAGACCGAUAGCAAAAAAGUACCUCGAGGGAACGAUGAAAAGACCGCUGGCAAGCGAGUGAAAGAGUGCAUGAAAUUGUAUAGUGGGAAGGGAUGGCCUGGCGUAUUGCCCGCGGGUAUACACUGCUCUUUGAGCUCUUGAAUACACCGUGGGCUGGCUGGUGCCGACACCUGCGCUUGCAAAUCCCCAAACUAAGGUGUUUGGCUCUUCAAGCGCGGGUGUUGAGGUUGAUCGUCGCUUUGUUUUAAACUGCGUCGACAUAGC
rnacentral:rRNA from 1 species